UACAGAGGUCUCAAGCGUUGUUCGGAUUCAUUGGGCGUAAAGGGUGCGUAGGCGGCGCGGUGAGUCGGAUGUGAAAUCUCGGAGCUUAACUCCGAAACUGCAUUCGAUACUGCCGUGCUUGAGGACUGGAGAGGAGACUGGAAUUUACGGUGUAGCGGUGAAAUGCGUAGAUAUCGUAAGGAAGACCAGUGGCGAAGGCGGGUCUCUGGACAGUUCCUGACGCUGAGGCACGAAGGCCAGGGGAGCAAACGGGG
rnacentral:rRNA from 1 species